rnacentral:rRNA from 1 species
CCUACGGGGGGCUGCAGUGGGGAAUAUUGGACAAUGGGCGAAAGCCUGAUCCAGCCAUGCCGCGUGUGUGAAGAAGGCCUUCGGGUUGUAAAGCACUUUCAGUGGGGAAGAAAGCCUUGGGGCUAAUACCCUCGAGGAAGGACAUCACCCACAGAAGAAGCACCGGCUAACUCCGUGCCAGCAGCCGCGGUAAUACGGAGGGUGCGAGCGUUAAUCGGAAUUACUGGGCGGAAAGCGCGCGUAGGCGGUCUGAUAAGCCGGUUGUGAAAGCCCCGGGCUCAACCUGGGAACGGCAUCCGGAACUGUCAGGCUAGAGUGCAGGAGAGGAAGGUAGAAUUCCCGGUGUAGCGGUGAAAUGCGUAGAGAUCGGGAGGAAUACCAGUGGCGAAGGCGGCCUUCUGGACUGACACUGACGCUGAGGUGCGAAAGCGUGGGUAGCAAACAGGAUUAGAUACCCCAGUAGUC